AAAAAAAAAAAAAAAAAGAUUAGGGAAAGCAAAAGAAGAACCCAUUUCUUGUGUAUACGAGGGAUGCAUGUAUGUGAUUUUUGUGCUGCAAGAUGACAAAAUUGAACUGCUUGGAUUUGGAUAUAUGGUAUUGAAAAGAAGAUACCAUUUUUAUAGUCAAAAGAUGUUGGAAAAAUUGAAAAAGACAAAAAAAAAAAGGUU
rnacentral:misc_RNA from 1 species